rnacentral:rRNA from 1 species
CACGUAGGGCGCAAGCGUUGUCCGGAAUUAUUGGGCGUAAAGAGCUCGUAGGCGGCUUGUCGCGUCGUCCGUGAAAACCUGCAGCUCAACUGCAGGCUUGCGGUCGAUACGGGCAGGCUAGAGUUCGGUAGGGGAGACUGGAAUUCCUGGUGUAGCGGUGAAAUGCGCAGAUAUCAGGAGGAACACCCGUGGCGAAAGCGGCUCUCUGGGACGGUACUGACGCUGAGACGCGAAAGCGUGGGGAGCAAACAGG